rnacentral:rRNA from 1 species
AUGGUCCAUAAAGAGAACAAGUGCUGGUGUGUGUUCCGAUCCAGUAAAUUUUCUUCAUGUGCCACACAAGUGGAGACGACUCUGCUUUUUUACCAUGAUCUUGAGAGUUAUGAGCUUUAUGACAAUAAUGACUCUCAAGUUCAGCAAGAGCUCGUACAAAAGAUAUGGAAAGUGUUUGAGACUAUACUAGAAGAGGCCAUGGAGCUUCUAUGGUUGGUUCAUAUGUGGUUAUCGAAGCAGGAUAAGUUCUUGAGAAGGACUCUAAUUGCUAUGGACCACAAGAUUUCAGAUGUCGCUCCCUAUUGCGUAUUGCUGUUGACAUUGGACUUGCUAUCCAGUAAGAGGGACAUUGGGAUCAUUGUUCAUCUAGAGAAGUCAGUGCCAAAUCUACGUCAGAAUAUUGGGAUGUUAAUGAUUGGAGUCCCGCAUUCCAAUCAACAACAUUGGGCCGAGCGAGCACGCGGGUGGUGCAAGAGGCAAUGGGCAGCCGGUACGUGA